rnacentral:rRNA from 1 species
AGAGAGAGACAUGCGCGCAUAUCAAUAAGCGGAGGAAAAGAAACUAACAAGGAUUCCCCUAGUAACGGCGAGUGAAGCGGGAAGAGCUCAGAUUUGAAAUCUUAAAGGGUUUCCCUUUACGAAUUGUAGUUUAAAGAAGUGUUUUCUGUUGAGGUUUUGGUAAAAGUUCUUUGGAAUAGGACAUCAUAGAGGGUGAGAAUCCCGUAUUUGACCUUUACUUUCAACUUUGUGAUACACUUUCAAAGAGUCGGAUUGUUUGGGAAUGCAGUCCAAAAUGGGUGGUAAAUCUCAUCUAAAGCUAAAUAUUGGCGAGAGACCGAUAGCGAACAAGUACCGUGAGGGAAAGAUGAAAAGAACUUUGAAAAGAGAGUUAAACAGUACGUGAAAUUGUCAAAAGGGAAGCGUUUGACACCAGUGUUGUUUUUCUGAAAAUCAAUUAAAGAACUGUUUAUGCUAAGUUGUUUAGACUUUAUCAGCUAACUGUUUAGUUUUGAGCUUUUCUUUAAUGCACUUUUCAGUUAACAAGUCAACAUCAAUUUCUUUUGCUGUAAAAAAGCUUGAGGAAGGUGGCUUGAGAUUCGUCUUAAGUGUUUAUAGCCUCUUGCCUAUGCAGUCGGAGAGAUUGAGGUCUGCAGCGUAGAUCCUUCGGGGCUAAAUGCAUUUGUGCUAAGUUAUAGCAUUUUAUAGACAACUUGUUGACUAUGAUUUGUCUUGUAGCUUACUCGCUUAUGUUAUUUUACCUACGCUUAGGAUGUUGACGCAUGAGAUAUACGC